rnacentral:tRNA from 1 species
GGGCUGUUAGCUCAAUUGGCAGAGCAACGGACUCUUAAUCCGUAGGUUGCAGGUUCGAUUCCUGCACAGCCCACCA